CUCUCUCUCUCUCUCUCUCUCUCUCUCUCUCUCUCUCUCUCUCCGUGCUCAACAAAUUUGUAAUCCGUAUCUCACAUGUCACGUGGAUUCACAUUGUAGUACAUGUUUAUAAAUUUAUUUGUCAUGGAUUAUUUGUGUCUUCAUUCAGGGUUUGGAAUCUGAAUAUUUGUGAUAAUUGGAUCUGCACCAAGAGAAAAUUUAGAAUCCCC
rnacentral:lncRNA from 1 species